rnacentral:rRNA from 1 species
CACGUAGGGGGCGAGCGUUGUCCGGAAUUAUUGGGCGUAAAGGGCGCGCAGGCGGUCUCUUAAGUCUGAUGUGAAAGGCCACGGCUCAACCGUGGGAUGGCAUUGGAAACUGGGGGACUUGAGUGCAGGAGAGGGGAGCGGAAUUCCCGGUGUAGCGGUGAAAUGCGUAGAGAUCGGGAGGAACACCAGUGGCGAAGGCGGCUCUCUGGCCUGUAACUGACGCUGAGGCGCGAAAGCGUGGGGAGCGAACAGGAUUAGAAACCCCCGUAGUCC